AGCCCUCAUUUUAUACCUGGAUCUAAGCAGAGCCUCUAAAGGAAUAAAGGCGUAAGGAUAAAGAGCAACUACAGAGAGGCUGCCUGGCAUUUCACAGGUGGCAGAAGAAAUAUACGUCACAGCAAAGCAUAGCUACAUACUAGCAGAAGAGGAAAACGGAUAAAUUUAGUGCUAAAAUGAUUUUGCAAAGCCACUCUGAGGGGAUUAAGAAAGAACUGGGAAAUUCCUAAUCAAUAUAACUGAGAGCUUCCUUCUCCUGCUGAGUCCCUCGAAGGUCAGAUUUGACUGGGACAUUUGAAGGUUGAUAUUCUGCAGCGUAUCUUCUAGAUCCCGAACCUGCAUCAUAAGAACAAUCUUACCUUGCUACACAAAAC
rnacentral:lncRNA from 1 species